AUCAUCAGCUGAUCAGAUCAUCUGAUCAUCAGAACAUAAGAUCAUCAGAUCAUCAGAACAUCUGAUCAUCAGAACACCAGAUCAUCAGAACAUAAGAUCAUCAGAACAUCUGAUCGUCGGAACACCAGAACGUCAGAACGGUGUCGGGCGGAAUGCGAGUCCUCACUGUGUCCGCGAGGGGGCGCGUCUCUGGGGAGCGGGAGGGAGCGUUCCCGCAGCAACAGGGAAGAUGGCAGCUCUCACAUCUCUCACUCAGUUGUCCAGUGGGAACGCCGUAUAUGAGAACUUCUACAGACAGGUGGAUCCUGGCAACACAGGGAGAGUGGGACCAACAGAAGCCGCCCUGUUCCUGAAGAAGUCCGGACUCGCUGACAUAACACUGGGAAAGAUUUGGGAUUUAGCUGAUCCUGAUGGAAAAGGCUAUUUGGACAAACAGGGGUUUUACGUGGCUCUGCGCCUGGUGGCCUGUGCUCAGAGUGGACAGGAAGUCUGUCUGUCCAGCCUCAACCUCAAAGUCCCGCCCCCAAAAUUUAAGGACACCAGUAGUCCGUCUCUGAGCAGCACCGCUCCUGCCUCCUCCGAAUCGCACUGGGCUGUCAGGCCGGAGGAAAAGGGUAAAUUUGAUGGGAUCUUUGAGAGUCUGGCUCCAGUCAACGGCCUGCUGUCGGGAGACAAGGUCAAACCAGUCCUCAUCAACUCCAAGCUGCCUCUGGACGUCCUGGGGAAGGUGUGGGACCUGAGUGACAUAGAUAAAGAUGGCCACCUGGACAAAGAUGAGUUUGCUGUGGCCAUGCACCUGGUCUACCGGGCCCUGGAGAAAGAGCCUGUUCCCGCUCUCCUCCCCUCAUCCCUCAUCCCUCCGUCCAAGAGGAAAAAGAGUCUGGGCUCGGUGGUCACUUCUGUGCCUGGACUGCCUGCCAGCCCUCCACCUCCGAAGGACUCCCUGCGCUCCACACCGUCCCACGGAAGCAUGAACUCACUCAACAGUACCGGCAGCCUGUCGCCCAAACACACACUCAAGUCCGGACAGCAUUCAUUGAACUGGGUGGUGCCAGUGUCAGACCGUGGUCGCUAUGACGACAUCUUCCUGAAGACGGAUGCGGACCUGGAUGGUUUUGUCAGCGGACUGGAAGUAAAAGAAAUAUUCAUGCAGUCUGGACUAUCUCAGAAUGUCCUCGCCCAUAUAUGGGCUCUGGCGGACACGAGGCAGAUAGGAAAACUGACCCGGGAGCAGUUUGCCCUCGCGAUGCAUCUCAUCCAACAGAAGGUCAGCAAGGGCAUCGACCCUCCACAGGCCCUGACUGCUGACAUGAUGCCUCCUUCUGAAAGAGGCACUCCUGUACCAAGUAUGUCAGGAUACAUGACCCCAGUGGGAUCAGAGAUGGCUGCUCUGUCUGAUAUGAGAAGGGACAGCUCCAGUUCAGUGGGUUCAGGGGAGUUCACCGGCAUCAAGGAGUUGGAUGACAUCAGCCAGGAGAUAACCCAGUUGCAGAGGGAGAAGUACACUCUGGAGCAAGACAUCAGGGAGACGGAGGAGGCCAUCCGAUACAAGAGUGCAGAGGUGCAGGAGAUGCAGAAUGACCUGGACAGAGAGACAGCCAGCCUGCAAGAGCUGGAGGCUCAGAAACAAGACGCCCAAGAACGCCUGGAAGAGAUGGACCAGCAGAAACACAAACUAGAAGACAUGCUGAACGAAGUCCGGAUCAAGUGCCAGGAGGAGUCUCAGAUGAUCUCAACGCUUCAGAGUCAGAUCCAUUCCCAGGAGUCCGACCUGCAGAGCCAGGAGGAAGAACUGAGCCGGGCAAAGGCCGACCUAGGCCGACUGCAGCAGGAGGAGAACCAGCUGGAGCAGAGCUUAGCUGCCGGGAAGAUCCAGCUGGAGACCAUCAUCAAGUCCCUGAAGGCCACGCAGGACGAGAUCAACCAGGCUCGCAGUAAAUUGUCCCAGAUUCAGGACAGCCAACAUGAAGUGUCGAAAAACAUCGAGCGGUAUAACAGCACCUUAAAUGGAACCCACGGAGGCAGCAUGACCAACCUGGCUGACAUGAGCGAGGGCUUCAGUGAGAAGGAGAAUGGAGGAUUCCCAGCCAUGGUGAGAGCAGCACAGGAGGAUCCGUUCAAAGUGAAGCCAUCAGUGUUCACCAGCCAGCCUCAGGAGCUUCCCACAGACCCCUUCCACUCUGAAGACCCCUUCAUCACAGACCCAUUCAAAGGUGACCCUUUCCAACACGACCCUUUUGCAAAGCAGCCACCAACGUCCACAGAUCCUUUUGGAGGAGACCCGUUCAAAGAGACAGACCCAUUCAAAGCUUCGUCAGAAGAUUUCUUCAAGAAGACCACAAAGAUGGACCCCUUCUCCACACCAGACCCCUUCAAUAAGAGUGCCACAUUACCUUCCAAGCAGCAAGCCAGUCACUUCACAAGCAAUGACCCAUUCUCUUCAAGUAACCCCAAACCCAGAGGAGCAGACUUGUUUGGCACGUUGGACCCGUUUGGCAGCAGUUCGUUCUGCAGCAGCAGCAGUAACAGCUCCGCUGGAUUUGCAGACUUCAGCCAUAUGUCAAAGCCCAGAGACCCUUUUGAAGGCAGGGCCAGCUGGCUGCCAGACUACCAGAAGUCAGUGUUUGUGGAAGACCCAUUCAGCAGGAAGAAUGACACGCCAGCUCUGCCACCGAAGAAAAGUGUUCCCCCAAGACCCAAACCACCCAGUGGUAAGAGCACACCAGUGAGCAUGUCUGGCACCGCUGACCCUUCUAAACCAUGUGACCCCUUCCAGCCAUUUGGCAGCGACCCCGUCGAUCCGUUUCAGAGUAAAAAAGGCCUGGGAGACCCGUUCAGCGGCAAAGACCCCUUUGCCCCGACCGCAACAAGUAAAGCCCCUAAACACUCUACCUCUGGUUGUGCAGACUUCAUUGCUGUAAGUUGAGAUGGGUGAUACUGUUUGACUUCCACAGCUCCGCACAGACACCAGCACAGUCACUAGAUCUGAGUCAUAAUGAUUGACUACCUCAGACUGAUGGGUGCUGACGAGGCAGAGCUCAAGUGUCACCAACAUGAAUGUAUCUUAGUCUAAAGACAAGGUAUUGCACCAACAUGUUUUUGGGUUGUAAUCUUGAAAUACCAAAAUUAAAGGAUCUAUUUAUUAUAAUUUGUUCCUGGUUGACAAAUACAACAUUUAGGCCCAUAACUCGCUAGUUUGUGCAUUGAAAUCCAGCGACAGUGUGGCCAGAGUGCUCAUUAAUUCCAUGUUGAAUGUAAAGGCCAGUUAUUAAAAUAUCAUAUUCAGAUUACAGCUGCAACUCACUGGGAUAUUAAUUUUUUAUUAAACUUGAGAAUAUUUUCUAGAUUAAUAAUGUAGUCUAUAAAUGUCCAUCAGGCUGUCCCAGAGCUCAUGGUGACAUAUUUAUGUUUGAACCAAAGCUCUUUGUCGCCACAAUUGAUUUCCAUCAGUUAGAUUCCAGGAGGUCGUAUAUGAGAUCAGUUUAAAUAAAAAUAUGAAUUUAACUACAGAAACUGUCUUCAGGGCAUGUAAUCCCUCUCUUAGUCCUGAUCUGUUGCUCAGGCUGUUAGUCUCAUGGCGUGUCGUGCUGUCUCCAGGUCAGUACCAAUAAAAAAACUACACCAAACUCACAUCGACAUUUUUACAACCGUGUCAUUGAUUUGAUGGCUAUGGUUUGUUAAAUAAUGUUUAUAAUGUCAUAAGUAUUAAAUCAGUUCUUUAAUGAGCGUUGUUUAGUUUGCCGCUGACACUAUUGUGAACGUGUUCAGUGUUUUUGUAUGUACUGUAAAUGGAGUCAUGUUGUUUAAUCUCAUUUUUAUAGCAUCCAAUAAUAACAAAUUACAAAAUCCAAACUAAUGAGAAAAAUUUCUUCAAUGAACAUCAGUAUGAUAAGUUGUGCCUAAAUGACAGAAGCCAAAAUGUAUUUGGCGUGUUGUCUGACCUUAAACAUUUGGUCCAUGUCCCAUCUGGUGAACAUGUGUGAUGAUGAUUUCAGCUUGACUUUUUUAGAGCUGUCAGGUCAUCCAUCUUUAUUCACCGUCUCUGGUUAAGACCGGUUGGAAAUGGGCUCAUUGUGAUUGGCUGAUGAUUAAAGCGGUGCACUAACAGCAGCACCUUUUGUCCUUAAUGUCAAGUCAUUUGAUGACAUUAUGAUUUUACUAUACAUUUACAGAAUUCUCUUGUUCAAAUUUAUGAUUUCAAAUUGUGAUAAGAGUGCAAGACAGUAUUAUUUUGAAUACUUCACCACAUUUAUCCAUAUCAGAAAAAACAUUAUUUUAAUACAAUAUGCGCGGUUAUAUUGACUUUAACAUCAUCACCCAGUGCAGUAAGCUGUAUCUUACUUACACAACACCAGAAGUCAAUAAGUGGCCUGUCUGUGUACAGUUGGAAAUAGAACAGAAUACAGGGAACUCAAAAUAACAAUCUAAAUAGUUCACUAGGCAAGACAGCACAACACUAAGGCAGCCUGUUCACCCUCUUCAGCUUCUUUAUGCUUUUCUCCAUGACAAUACAUUUCUCUGUCUGUUGAUAGAGAAAUGUAUUAAAUCAAUUGCUCAACAGUUUAGAAAGAUGGCAUAGAUUUGGGGUUGGAGGGAUGGGGGGGUUUCUUCAACCACUCACACUAAACACUUGACAACACACUCCUGUGUGAAGUGUGAAGUCGAUUGGUUGUCGACUAAAUGGAAGGACAGACAGACGUAGGCUGUCAGAAGCAGAAGAGCUUAGCUUUCAUUUGUGUUGCAGCAGAAAUGGGUUGGAGGUUUGAGGGGAGUCAUGUGAGUGACUCACUGUGCUCACUGAUGGAGUCAGAGGGCCCAUAGCCAGGAACGCUUCACAGGGGUCCAGCUGGAUCCAUAAAUCAGCAAAUAGUCCCAGCAAUUUAAAGCACAAAUUGUCACUAUAAUUUAGUUUUGUCUCCAGAUGAAACAAUUGAGAUACAAUGUGUCCAUCGCUGUUGGUGCUGUAGGUCUGUGUUGGUACUUUGAAAAGAGCCUUUAUGCAAAGCUAAGCUAUCCAUGUCCUGCAGGAUUAACAAUGACAGAUACUAUCUGAAGAGCAGCCUAAAGGAGCAAACAGAGGUGGACUGGACCUCGAUGCAACAUUUCAGAAACUGCAGUUAGGUGUUGUAGCUGUAUUCAGGCUGCAGGGCUGCAUUCAUUUCUCGUGCAGGAAAGGGUGUCAGCCCUCUUUGUGGUUGCUGUGCUUGUUUUCACAGGAAGAAUAUCGUUAGUUUGUCUGAGUUUCUGUGGACUCUGACUGAGGCUCAGGGCUAAUGUGAAUUGUCACUUGUCACUUUACAUUAGUCCGGCAGAUAAUAACUUUAUAGGUCAAUAAUCUGAUUGACAGUCCGAUCUAACGCAGGACACAAGAGUAUCACAUCUCAACUCGCAGCUCUUAAGUCUGUCGCCCACGUCUGUGUGUGUGUGUGUGUGUGUGUGUGUGUGUGUGUGUGUGUGUGUGUGUGUGUGUGUGUGUGUGUGUGUGUGUGUGUGUGUGUGUGUGUGUGUGUGUGUGUGUGUGUGUGUGUGUGUGUGUGUGUGUGUGUGUGUGUGUGUUUGUGUGUGUGUGUGUUCUAUCAUGUGACUGUACAGCAGUACCACUCUGACACUUGUUCACCACAUGCUCUCAUGGGAGUUCCGAUACUAACUGACUGCUUUACUGGGUAGAAACAAAAUCAAUAUUCCUGAAAAUUCAUUGACUUCGUCAGAACAUAUGUAAUAAUCCCUUUCAUUCAAUUCAUGUAGAAUCUCUUCAGGGUAGAGUAUUAUUGGCUGGAACAACAGGGCCUGUUAAACAUUUAUUGUAAGCAGGAAGACUGGUUCUUGCACAUUUACUAUUUUUAUUAUAGGAUACAUUUCAUAAAUCAUACUCUUAUUCGUUCUCCCAAAAAAGUAAAGGAGCUUUCAGACAGUAAGUGGUUGUUAAGUAAAGUACAGAGGUUGAGGUUGUGGCAGCAGCAGAGCGAGAGCGUCUGCUGAUGGUUAAACUUCUUCAUCUUGGCACGUUGCUACGUGACGUUGACAACCACAGGGAGUACAGCAAGUUAAAUGAUUUCCCUGGUCCCCAUGUUAACACAGCUCCUCGCCACUAGAGAAGCGACAGGUCAGGGAAGAGGAACAGAACUAAAACAACAUGGUCUUCAGUCGGAGGCAUUAAUCUCAUUUCUGAUACUAGUAAGCAAAACUUGCUGCAUUAGUUGAUGUUAACUAACCACUCCCUUGUGUGAAGGCUGGUGGACAGCAGCACUAUGUGUUGUUAACUGGGAGCCAUGGCUGCUGUCACUGAUUCAGAUAGAAUGCUGAUGUUGCUGCGGUAACCACUCGUUGUCUGCAAGCACGAAACCUCUCAUCCAAAACAGACUUAUCCUAUAAAAUGCUUUAAUUCAACCAAAUUAUAAGAAAUUUGUCAGAAUAAUAAUGCAUACGAUUCCUAAUAUUGAGUUUUGAUAGUUCCAUACAUCCAAUUCACUACUCCAUCAGCACCACUUAACAGUCAAUUACAAUCCCAAUGUAUGUUCCAUAUCUUUACAUAUCUAACUCGCAGUCAUGUUGUAAGUCCUUACACAUACAGCAGCUAAAGACAGUGAAAUUCUGCAGGAAUCCCUUGUUUGUGUGUGUGUGUGUGUUUGCGCUGUGUUGUGUGUGUGUGUGUGUGUGUGUGUGUGCGUGUGCGUGCUGUGCGUGUGUGUCUGUGUGAGUGUGUGCUGUGCUGUGCUGUGCUGUGCUGUGAUUUCUAUAACACUGAGUUCCUAACGUCUCUGUUCUGUAACCCACCUCUGACAGGACCUGACAAAGUGAAGGUAAGAGAUUUAAAUACACAAUGAAAUUCACAUUCAGACUUGGCAACAUUGUCUCCACAUGACUUAAUUUCAGAUGUACAAUAUGUUUAAACAUGUUUUCGUUGAUCUUACAUCACGUGUUGCUGAAAAAGCAAAUCGGUCACAUUGAGGAGCAAAAUUAUGAGUAACUGAAUUUUUACAUCAAUAGAAGGAAACAUGUUGCCUUGUGUUUGAGGAAUGUUUCUCUCUUUUGUUAGAAAGCACUUUAAUGUCACUACUAUUAAUUAGAGCAAUGGUACUUUAUCGGAUGUGUUUAUAUAUUAAUAUAAAUAUUAAGGCAUAUACCAAUAUGUCUGAAAGGCUCAUAUCAGCCGAUAAAUCGUACAAGCUCUAUAUUUUAUGUCAAAAUAUAUUAUGAAUACAUUUAUUUAUGUUUUAAUAUUGUGUCCUGAGUGCUACAUUUACAGGGGUUCUGUUGUUCAAACUGUUAAAUGGUGACAUUGUUUUUAAAAGAUCUCAGUAUAUUUGACAUUUCUGUACAGCGACGUCUGAUUUCUUAUUGGUCAAUAUACACUUCCUGGCCAUGUAUAUUAUAUAACACAAUACAAUGUAGUAGAACAGCUCCGUCACACAUUCCUACUCAAGGAGGCUUCUAGUGGACUGUGCUCCAGAUACAUCCUCAUCACGUAGGUUAGGCUGAAAUGUGUUUCUAAUAUCCAACAUGUACAGUAUACACUAUACACUAUACAGUAUAUAUGUGAAGUGAUGUCUGCCUACAGUUGACAUCAGCCUGGCUCUAAUAAAAAAUAGUCACUAGUCAUAAAAUCCAUCCUCUGUGCUGCUGUGGAGGAUUUGUUCUCCUCAUAUAGCAGUUUGGGAAUGAGGCCCAGCAGCUGGAGUGGGCGAAGAGGGAGAGUGAGCGAGCCGAGCGGGAGCGCGUGAAGAGGCUGCGGCAGCAGGAGCAGGAGGACCUGGAGCUGGCCAUCGCCC